ACCAACCAGCGCAUCUGGUUAUCCCAACUGACCAUCAAAAUUGGACUCGUUUCUUAGAACAGGCUGAGCCAGCUUAUAGGGGACUUGAUUGUGUACUGAGGUCCUUGAGAAGCCUUACCCCACAUCUUCUGCCAGCCACUCAAAGGGGAGGAUGUCCCACUCUGCUCUAAGGUGGAGAGAAGGCUUCAAAUCCGUUCUGAGUUCUUGGAUCUUAGUCACAUAGAGCAGCUUUAAGCAUUGCUUCUGAGGAGGAUACCAUUUCUCCCUUCUGCCACAUGUAUUGACUAAUGAGACCAGCCUAUGGUCCCCCAAAUUCCCAAAGGGUACUCUGAAUUGGCACCAGUUUAGUGGGCUAUCUAGUGAAA